UACAGAGGUCCCAAGCGUUGUUCGGAUUCACUGGGCGUAAAGGGUGCGUAGGUGGUGAGGUAAGUCGGAUGUGAAAGCUCGGAGCUCAACUCCGAAAUGGCAUUGGAAACUACCUUGCUCGAGGGUUGGAGGGGGGACUGGAAUACUUGGUGUAGCAGUGAAAUGCGUAGAUAUCGAGAGGAACACCAGUGGCGAAGGCGAGUCUCUGGACGACACCUGACACUGAGGCACGAAAGCUAGGGGAGCAAACAGG
rnacentral:rRNA from 1 species